CUCCAGGUAUCGUUCACUUUAAUUAAAAUUCCAGGUCUGCGAGGUGUCAGAUGUCCUGUUCAGAGAGAAAAGGGGAUUUGCAGUGAAAAUGUGCACCACCGAGAGUUCAAAAUAAGAGCAACGCUAGUUCUGGAAAAGGAGAGAAGUUCAUUACCGCAGCACAGUGAUACAUCCCAAUAUCCUCUUUGCUCAACUAGCUACGGCCAGGCAUGCUACGGUAUCACGCGUUGCUAAUAAGAAGAGCCUCCCUACGUGUCGAGGUAGAGUCCCAGUGGCCAACCGCUCUGCACACAAUCAACGGAGGAAAGGUUGGCCACCCCUGCUCAACAAGAUCUUCAGGAAAACACAGAACAUGAAUAUUACAGAUUUCAGUAAGAUUUUCUAAGGCUUGUGGGAAGUUAGUCUAUAGUGCCGUUUCUUCUGGCAUAGCUGUUUUCUCUAAAAACCAGAGCCUGUCCUUGGAUGCAAACUGUGCUAGCUAAAACUGUGCCUGAAACCGGUUAUUGAGCAUCACUGAAGUAAGCAAGAUUCUUCACCAUUUGUAGACAGCUAAAGAUGUCUGGAAAACUUUCUAAGGAUGAAAGCAGUUCAACAACGGAACAGCUGCAUUGAGAGGUCAUUGUGAGGC